GGGGCUGACAGGUUUCGACAGCAGUUUCGUUGUUCGCACGUGCGACCAGAGUUGCUCAGACUCUUUAAACAGGGCAACAACAGAAUUGCCAACGAGCAGUUCGCUCUCGCCGCCUAAUUAGGCGUUAGAGAGACAUCGUGACCAGCAAUGGCGCACGGGGCCAAUCCAUCGCAGCCCGGCAACAGAAGCGGAGGAUGACGGCAGGAAAGAACGCUGGCGGUGAGGAAGAGCACUGACAUGUGGGAAAGACCACACGUAGUUCACUUCGGUGGACAGCCGACUCGUCGGUGACGUUGCGUUAGCGUCAGAACGGGAAUGGUCGUAUCACUGGCGCGCGACGCCUGAUGGACGGGGGUUCGAUUCCCCCCAGCUCCACCA
rnacentral:tmRNA from 2 species